ensembl:lncRNA novel transcript, antisense to SLC38A11 and SCN3A
GCCAUCUUCAAAGGUACUGCCUACCUGAACCUGCCUUGUCCCAAAGGACACACUUCAAUCUGGGGAGAGUUUAAAGUUGUAGACAUAUCCAUUUUCAUUUAAGGAAUAUGAAGAUCAGGGAGGCAAAAUAUAGAGAUAUAGAGAGGAAAAACUGAGAGAUGAUCAGAAAUUCAGACGCAUUCGGAAUGAGCACCCUUGACCAUACCAAGAACAAAGACUCUAUAAAAAUGUGAAGUCUUAUUAUUGUUCAUCCAUGUUCUACGUGGGAUCCACCCAAGACAUUGAAAACUGUACAGAACAGGGUGAAAUUGAAUCAGAUCAUUCUGUACUCCUAACAAGGUCCACCCCAUGAGAGACUUGCAGCAGAAUUAAUGACACUGUAUAUUUUCCUCUACUAACAACAACAAGAACAACAACAACAACAAUCUAGGAAAAUCAAAGGCAGCCCGACAUGGAAAAAAACACAAAAUGAAUAUUUGGAUUACAAAUAGUGUGAUGGGAAGAACACACUGCCAAAAGUCCACCUAGUAUGUUGAAAUUACUGUUUCUAGCACAUAUAAGAUUUGCUGCCAAUUUGUACUGACUUCUGAAAAAUACUUUAUCCAUUGUCUUCUUACAUCAGAAUCAACUCCCUAAAUUCUUCAGCACUGGCUUUGUAAACUGGUUUCUGGUCUUUGUUUCUGGUGAAUAACAAUAAGGCAAUGUAGAAGAAAGCAAGUCCCAUCAAAGGGAGCUCCAGUCUCUAUAGACUGAUAAAAAGGAGCCUCAGAACUUAAACCUCUGGAUCAGGAGAAUCAAAAAACAUCAUGCCUCUCUAUGAUACCCGCCCAAACUCUUUCAGCUAAACAGAAGCACUUUCAAAUAUACAAUUCCGGCAGAGUCUGCAUUUUUGUUGUAAGAGCCUCAUGUUUUUAGUCAGACACAUCCGGGAGUUGAGUGCUUUGGAUGACACAAAACAAAGGCUCCAUGUUGCCUGUCACACCACAAGCUAUUAAUGACAAGCAGAUCUGACCUCUUCCCCCAGCUCCUGCAUCCACUGAAGGCUCUGUCACUUCCUCACUCUCAGCUCACUUGUAUUCUGAUUCUGUUCUAUAGACAAAACCUUGGUUUACAUUAAUAUAUAAAGCUGCUCAGGAGAAUCCUUCUUAGGAAUCACUCUGAACAUUAAAACUGAUUCAUUUAAAAACGCACACCCACACAAAUGGGAAAAGCAGUCUUCGCUUGCGGAUUGGAAGAAUCAAUAUCAUUAAAAGAACUAUACUACCCAAAGCAAUCUACAGAUUCAACACUAUUCCUAUCCAACAUCAUUUUUUAAAUUUAGAAAAAAACUAUUAUGAAAUUCGUAUGGAAUGAGAAAAGCCCCAUUAGCUAAAACAACCCUGAAUAAAAAGAACAAAGCCAGAGGCAUCACAUUAUCUGACUUCAAACUAUAUUAUGAGGCUACAGUAACCAAAGAAGCAUCAUACUAGUACACAAACAGACACAUAGACCAAUGGAACAGAAUAGAGAAUCCAGAAAUAAAGCCACACACCUACAACCAUCUGGUCUUUGACAAAGUCGACAAAAAUAAGCAAUGGGGAGAGGAUUCCCUAGCCAAUAAGUGGUGCUGAGAUAACUGGCUAACCAUAUGCAGAAGAAUGAAACUAGACCCCUACCUUUUUCCAUAUACAAAAACUAACUUGAGAUGGAUUAGAGAUUUAAAUGUAAGACCUCAAACUAUAAAAAUCCUAGAGAAAACCUAGGAAAUACCCUUCCCGACAUUGGCCUUGGCGAGGAAUUUAUGGCUAAGGCCUCAAAAGCAAUCACAACAAAAACAAAGACUGACAAGUGGGACCUAAUUAAACUAAAAAGCUUCAGCACAGCAAAAGAAACUAUCAACAGAAUAAACAGACAACCUACAGAAUGGGAGAAGAUAUUUACAAACUCUGUAUAUGACAAAGUUCCAAUAUCCAGAAUCUGUAAGGAACUUAAUUUGACAAGCAAAAACCAAAUAACUCCAUUAAAAGGUGGGCAAAGGAUAUGAACAGACAUUUCCCAAAAGAAGAAGACAAACAAAUAGCCAAUGAACAUAUGAAGA